AUUGAACGCUGGCGGCAUGCCUUACACAUGCAAGUCGAACGGCAGCGCGGGAGCAAUCCUGGCGGCGAGUGGCGAACGGGUGAGUAAUAUAUCGGAACGUGCCCAUUAGUGGGGGAUAGCCCGGCGAAAGCCGGAUUAAUACCGCAUACGACCUGAGGGUGAAAGCGGGGGAUCGCAAGACCUCGCGCUAUUGGAGCGGCUGAUAUCAGAUUAGCUAGUUGGUGGGGUAAAGGCCUACCAAGGCAACGAUCUGUAGUUGGUCUGAGAGGACGACCAGCCACACUGGGACUGAGACACGGCCCAGACUCCUACGGGAGGCAGCAGUGGGGAAUUUUGGACAAUGGGCGCAAGCCUGAUCCAGCAAUGCCGCGUGCAGGAAGAAGGCCUUCGGGUUGUAAACUGCUUUUGUCAGGGAAGAAAUCCUUUGGGCUAAUACCUCGGAGGGAUGACGGUACCUGAAGAAUAAGCACCGGCUAACUACGUGCCAGCCGCCGCCGUAA
rnacentral:rRNA from 1 species